GAGAGCAACAUGGGCGACCCCAUCCUGCCCACAGGUUGUGUGUGAGGCUCAGAGGGGCACCGGUGACUGUCACUACUAAUAACGGUCCUUCAGCACUGCCCUGACCUAGGACAUCCAGCUCCCAAGGACAGACCGGUGACCACACCCACCCAGCAUGCUGAGCUAUGCCCAAGCCGGUAGGACGAUCACCUCCUCAGCUCACUUGCUUUGCUCCAGGGACCAGGAUUCUUAUGGCCACCAGCCAGGCCCGUUCUGGGGACAUGUGGUCAAUUUAACUCCAUCCCACACCCCCACUGCAGCCGGGAUGCAGUGUCUCACCUUGGCGGAUGGGGAGCCGCUCAUGAUGCAGGCCUUGGUUUUCUCAUCUCAAAAAUGAAGGGGAGUCACCUUGCCCUGCCUGCUUUAUGGGUGAAUGGACGUGCAGGCUCUUGGGAAAUGAGCGUGUGCAGGGAACACGAAGACAAGCCAGGAUAGGGGCUCUGGAGGCUGGGGCCCGGGUGUUGAGCCACCAAAAACAGUGCCCCGUGUGGAGCCCCCAGCUGACACCCUGCAGCCUCCUCCAGCCCUGUGCAAGGCUCAGCUCCCAGCCUACCUUUCCCCCUGCGAGGACCGCGCCAAAGAGGUGGAUGAGACGCAACAGCAGCAUGGGAG